AUUGCAACAAGUGCAGCAAAUGGAGUUAUAUGUAUGUCUAUAUAAGGAAAUAUCAACAGGGGAGCAGCGAAGAGGGUGUCUUUAACGAUAUAUAUAGACCAUUAAUCAACUGAUUCAUUUGGAGAUAUUGCCAAAGGCUGGCUUAUUCAAUCCAAGGAAGUUUGUUGCUGGCCGCACAAUACUCAUAAACCGCACCGAACCGCACGCUUUGAGAUCUUGUUUAAUACUGGAGCCGAAAUCGAAGUUGGAGCCACCGCUCAAGUGGCAAUGGAGUGGUAUUAUAUGGCAAUGGAACGCGACAGUGGGCUUAAAGACUUCAUGUCAGCCAAAGCACUUAUAUUCCUUAAAAGGAAAAUAACUCAAGGGGUUAUAGAGGAAGCACUGAUCUUAGCAAUUAAAGACAAAUACAAAUUGAGCCAAAUACUUUUGGCAACUAAAUCUUCAGCUUUGGAGCUAUUUACUUGUGAUUUCUCGGUAUUUUACGUUAUUUAUUUUGAUAAGGAAACAUAAAUCAAUAAAAUUAUCGAAACUUCUUACGAACUUU
ensembl:ncRNA lncRNA:CR44348 long non-coding RNA:CR44348